AAUGAACGUUGGCGGCGUGGAUUAGGCAUGCAAGUCGAGCGCGAUAUGUAGCAAUACAUGGAGAGCGGCGAAAGGGAGAGUAAUACGUAGGUAUCUACCCUCGGGUCUGGGAUAGCAGCGGGAAACUGCCGGUAAUACCAGAUAACGUCUCCGGACCAAAGGUGUGAUUCCACCUGAGGAGGAGCCUACGGCCUAUUAGCUAGUUGGUAGGGUAACGGCCUACCAAGGCAAAGAUGGGUAUGGGGUGUGAGAGCAUGCCCCCACUCACUGGGACUGAGACACUGCCCAGACACCUACGGGUGGCUGCAGUCGAGAAUCUUCGGCAAUGGGCGAAAGCCUGACCGAGCGACGCCGCGUGCGGGAUGAAGGCCUUCGGGUUGUAAACCGCUGUCGUAGUGGAGGAAAUGUAGGAGAGUUAUCUCUUUUACUUGACUAAUACUAGGAGGAAGGACCGGCUAAUCUCGUGCCAGCCGCCGCCGUAAAAC
rnacentral:rRNA from 1 species